rnacentral:rRNA from 1 species
GGUUAAGCUGCGACUAAGCGUACACGGUGGAUACUUACACGGCGAUCCAGAAGGCGAUGAAGGCGUGCUAAUCUGCGAUAAGCGCCGGUAAGGUGAUAUAGGCGUUAUAACCGGCGAUACCGAAUGGGAAACCCAGUGUGAUUCGUCACACUAUCAUUAACUGAAUCCGCUGGGUUAAUGAGGCGAACCGGGAACUGAAACAUCUAAGUACCCCGAGGAAAAAAUCAACCGAAGAUUCCCCAGUAGCGGCGAGCGGUGGGGAGGAGCAGAACUAAGACAUGUGUGUUAGUGGAAGUGUCUGAAGGCGCGCGAUACAGGGGUGACGGCCCGUACUUUUAAAAGCGCAUGUGCUGUGAAGCUCGAUAGUAGGGCGGGACACGUGGUAUCCUGUCUGAAUAUGGGGGACCAUCCUCCAAGGCUAAAUACUCCUGACUGACCGAUGGUGAACAGUACCGUGAGGAAAGGCGAAAAGAACCCCGGCAGGAUGAAAAAGAACCUGAAACCGUGUACGUUGCAAGCAGUGGGAGCACAGGUUUUGCCUGUGUGACUUCGUACGCUACACGUAUAAUGGGUCAGCGACUUAUAUUCUGUAGCAAAGGUUAACCGAAUAGGGGAGCCGGAGGGAAACCGAGUCUUAAUUGGGCGUUAAGUUGCAGGGUAUAGACCCGAAACCCGGUGAUCUAGCCAUGGGCAGGUUGAAGGUUGGGUAACACUAACUGGAGGACCGAACCGACUAAUGACGAAAAAUUAGCGGAUGACCUGUGGCGCAGGGGUGAAAACCCAUCAAACCGGGAGAUAGCUGGUUCUCCCCGAAAGCUAUUUAGGUAGCGCCUCGUGAACUCAUCUCGGGGUAGAGCACUGUUUCGGCUAGGGGCCAUCAGCUUACCAACGAUACAAGCUGCGAAUACCGGAGGAAGUGUUAUCACAGGAGACACGGCGAACUGCGUCCCGUCGUGAAGAAGGAAACAGCAGACCGCCAGCUAAGGUCCCCAAAGUCAUGGUUAAGUGGGGAAACGAUGUGGGAAGGCCCGAACAGCCCGGGAUGUUGGCCCAAAGCAGCCAUCAUUUAAAAGCGUAAUAACUCACUGGUCGGAGUCGGCCUGCGCGGAAGAUGUAACAGGGCUAAACCAGCGGCAGCGACGCGCUUUAUGCGUUGUUGGGUGAGGAAGCGUUCUGUAAACGCUGUGGGCGACGCAAUGAGGGUUGCUGGAGGUAUCAGAAGUGCGAAGAUGCUGACAUAGUAACGAUAAAGCGGGUGAAAGCCCGCUCGCCGGAACAAGGGUUUCCUGUCAACGUUAAUCGGGGCAGGGUGAGUCGACUAAGGCGAAGCCGAGGCAUGAUCGAUGGGAAGCAGGUUAGCCAUAUUCCCGUACUUGGGUAUUUACUGCCGCGAAGGGGGACGGAGGAAAGGCUAUGUUGGCCGGGCGACAGUUGUCCCGGUUUUAAGCGUGUAGUGUGUGUUCGAGAGUAAGAAAUCCGGUUCUACUUUAACACUGAGGCGUGAUGAGGCACUGCGGUGCUGAAGCAACAAAUGCCUGCUUCCGGGAAAAGCCUCUAGCAUCCGGAAAUGACAUCAAAUAACUUUAAACAAACUGCAGGUGGUCGGGUAAGAAAUACCAAGGCGCUUGAGAGAACUCGGUGAAAGAACUACAGAGCAAAAUGGUGCCGUAACUUCAGGAGAAGCACGCUGACAUGUGGGUGAAGUGUGAUUUAUAUGGAAUGAAGUCGAUCGAAAAGAUACCAGCUGGCUGCAACUGUUUAUUAAAACACAGCACUGUGCAAACACGGAAGUGGACGUAUACGGUGGCUGACGCCUGCCAGUGCCGGAAGGUUAGUGAUGGGGUCAGCGCAAGAAGCGAAGCUCUAAUCGAAGAAGCCCCACGUCAAGCGGCGGCCGUAAUAUAACGGUCUAAGGUAGCUAUUCCUUGUCGGGUAAGUUCGACCUGCACGAAUGGCGUAAUGAUGGCGGUUCUGUCUCCGCAGACUCGGUAAAUUGAACCUCGCUGUGAAGAUGCGGUGUACCCGCGGCAAGAACGGAAGACCCCGAUGAACCUUUACUAUAACCCGACGCGACAUUGAGCCUUGAUGUGUAGGGACGGGUGGGAAGCGUGUGGACGCCAGUCUGCGCAUGGAGCCGACUUGUGAAAUACCACCUUUAAUGUUUGAUGUUCUAACGUGGAUUGUAGUCGGGUUGCGGACAGUGUCUGGUGGGUAGUUUGACUGGGGCGGUCUCACUCCUAAAGAGUAACGGAGGGCACGAAGGUUGGCUGAAAUACUGGUCGGACAUCAGGAGGUUAGUGCAAUGGCAUAAGCCAGCUUGACUGCCUGACGUGACGGCGCGAGCGGUGCAGCAGGUCAUAGUGAUCCGGUGGUUCUGAAUGGAAGGGCCAUCGCUCAACGGUAAAAGGUACUCCGGGGAUAACAGGCUGAUACCGCUUAGAGUUCAUAUCGACGGCGGUGUUUGGCAUAUCGAUGUCGGCUCAUCACAUCUGGGGCUGAAGUAGGUCCCAAGGGUGGCUGUUCGCCAUUUUAAGUGGUACGGCGGGUUUAGAACGUCGUGAAGAACAGUUCGGUCCCCUAUCUGCAAAUGAGCGCUGGAGAACUGAGGGGGCUGCUCUCCUGGUACGAAGGACCGGAGUGGACGCAUCACUGGUAUUUCGAGGUUGUCAUGCCAAUGGCACUGCCCGGCCAGCUAAAUGCCGGAAGAGAUAAGUGCUGAAAGCAUCUAAGCACCGAAACUUGCCGAGAUGAGUUCAUCACGCGGGCAUUCUCCUGAAGGAACGUUGAAGACGACGACGUUGAUAAGGCCGGUGUGUAAAGCGCAGCGUGCGUUGAGCUUAACCGGUUAAUGAAUUACGUGAGGCUUGUACUA